AUUGAACGCUGGCGGCAGGCCUAACCCCUGCAAGUCGAGCGAGCGGCGGACGGGUGAGUAAUGUAUGGGGACUGCCCGAUAGAGGGGGAUAACUACUGGAAACGGUAGCUAAUACAGCAUACUAUCGGAUAACCCAUAGGGGAUUAGCUAGUAGGUGAGGUAAUGGCUAACCUAGGCGACGAUCCCUCGCUGGUCUGCGAGGAUGAGCAGCCAAACUGGGACGCAGACACGGCCCAGACUCCUGCGGAGGCAGCAGGGGGGAAUAUUGCACAAGUGGCGCAAGCCUGAUGCAGCCAUGCCGCGUGUAUGAAUAAGGCCCUAGUGUUGUAAAGUACUUGCAGUCUGGAGGCGUUACCGACAGAAGAAGCACCGGCUAACUCCGGGCCAGCAGCCGCGGUAAUUC
rnacentral:rRNA from 1 species